GGCAAAUCUUUCAAAGACUCUAGAUCUGUUUGGCAAAGAUCCAUUUCUAAACAUUUUUUGAACAAAUAUCUUAAAAUGAUCAUGUCAUAUGGCUGUAGGCCUUAUCAGUCAGAAUGUUUCUAAAAUUUCUAUAUGCAUAGGAAUUAUCUGAAGAAUGUGCUAAAAAUAUAACUUUCUGAGCUCCACCUCAGAGAUUCUAAGAUGGUGUGGUCUUCUUUGGACCAAGGAAUCUGCAUUUUAAUGGCUUCUUUGUGGGGAGUGAGGUGAUGCUGGUGGAGCUGGCAGGAGCUGGGUGUGGGGAUGUGGGGCGGUUUUGGAUUAGCCAAGUCAGAGCAUGCAAGCAGCAUGGGGUUCUAGUUUGGGCUCAGAGGUCUAGUUUUAGCUCUCAGGGUCACUGUAUGUCCUUGAACGGGCUGCUGUCUCUUCCAUUUCUUUUUGCACUUUCUGUUUUGCACUCAGAGCUUCACACACUGCCCUCUCAGGGGCACCCUGCCUGGCCUCCCAGACCUUGGGAAAUCUGGGUGGAAGCCUUCCUGACCCCACAACUCUUUUGCUGUCUCUUCCUUAUUUUGUUUGGUUUUCCGAAUUGCAUAGCAAAGGCAUUGGACAAAGUCCGUGAGACUGCGCAGCACGUCUUAUCAAAUUUAUGCAGCACUUUCAUCAGUGGACUCUCACAUGGAAACCCAGUGCAUAACGUAAGUAGAGGCAGAGCCAAGGUACAGCAGGAGGACUGGUAUCUGCCCCGCAGUGGAGUCCAGCGUUUCUCUCUGCAGAGCUCAAGGUAUAUAUAUAUUUUUUGAGACAGGGUCUCAAUAUACGGUGCAGGUUGGGCUUGAGCUCACUUUGUAGCCUAGGCUGGUCUCAGACUUACAACAGUCCUCCUGCCUCAGCCACUUGAGUGCUUCCAGGUAUAGUUUGAUGGUCCAUGGAAGACCAGAAAAGGCAGCACAGCUGUGUCUCACUUGAUCAGUACAAACACAAACCCAAGACCCUGUGAGCUGAGGAAGAAAGUCCUCAAGCACGAAGUACUUCUGUUUCCCUCAAUUAACCCUGCACUGAGAGCCACAGUUUAAAGCCUGUGCUGAGAAGUCUUAGUUUGGCAGGAGGAGUUGCUCCCAGUGGGAAGAAAGUCAUCUUGGUGCCCUGUUCUGAAUCUCUCCCCUCUUAGAGACUGAGCCUCUCCCUUGAUAGAGACUGAGCACAGUCUAUGCUUAAUUAUCUUUAAUGAAGAGGAGUGAGGGUGUGAAUAAUCCAAAUGAUGGACAAUCCAAAACAAUGCAUAAUCCUAGGUAACAUUUAUGUUUGACUUUGGAAUGUAUUUUAGUAUUCGUAUUUGAAUAUGGAUGUGUUUGAUAUUCUUGGAAUUGUUAAUACACAGAAUGUAAACUGCACAACCCUUCUCGUCUCCUACUGAGCUGGUGAAGAACAUCACCUUCUUCCUGGCUUAGUGCUAACGCUGGCUGCACCCUCCCUUCCCUAGUGUGUCUGUCUUUCUGGCUCACACCUUCCCUAGAAAGGGAUGGAGAUAUUAACUGGAUUUUUCCUUUAAAGGACUUUCAUUCCCUUUGGGCCUCAUUCAAAUAAGAGCAAAAUAAGAAGCUGUGAAGUGUGAGCAGAGGACUUCAUUAAGCCACCUUGGUCAUAGAAUUUGCCAGGAAUGGGGACAAUUUGCCAACAGAUAAUUGAGAACUGCGUAUAUAUAUAUAUAUAUGCUCUAAUUAAAAAAGUGAUUCUUCUCGCUGCCCUGGGAUUCUGGGCCCACUUUUCUAAUUGGUUCGGGAUAUUAACCACGCCUAACUUUUGCGUACAGUUGAUUCUUCACAAAGUGCUUCAUGUAUGUUAUCUUACUUCAUCACCCUGAUGUAGAGGCUUGAAGCUCACUGCUCCCCUGCAGGACCUCCUCCCACACAGCCUUCUUCAGCCUGACUCUGCCUCGUGUGUCACCACCAAACAGGGGCAUCCUGGCAAGGGCUCUGAUCAUUUGCAUCCAUCCCAGAAUGCAGCAGCAAAGGAAGCAGAACCACCUGGCAAGGACUGCCCUUUGAUCAAGGAGCGAUUUUAUGCUAGAAGCACUUGAGAAAAAGAAGGGGAUACACAGACUGCUGCGAGUGCCUAGGUACCAGGGAUUAAACUCACGACCGCACACUUGCAAGUUCCAGACCCCACAGCACCAACACACAGCGGGCGCCUGGAAAGUGCCUGCAUCCAACGGAAAGGAGACCUCAGGACUCAUAAUCAGCACCGUGAGCACCCAGGCAUGCCCCGUGGCGGGCCUGAGCAGUGGCCAGAGGAAUGCCCGCUUCCUUCUACCUGGGAGCAGCCGCAGCCAGCAGCUCACCUCCGUACCAGCCCCAGCCGAUUCCUGGUCAGCCCUUGGCGAGUGUGGAGGAGGCAGGGUCCAGCCUGAGUUCCUCGUUCCUCGACAUCACAGCUGCUUGUGUGAGCGCGCCGAGAUCCUUUGGCGAAUAACGACUGGGAAGUGCUGCUCCUUACUACUGAGAAGGUGGUUCCUCCUGGUCCAUUUGGUUCGGAGGUGGAGACUAUUACAUUGCUCUAUUUACCCCACACUUGCGACGCAGCUACUGAAAAUCUCACCGCGUCCUACAUUCCAUAGGCCAUUAUGUGUAUUUUAAACCAUUACAUAAAUGGACUUGCUUUGGUACUUCUGAAUGUCAUUAAACCCUCCCCUACCAGUGGCAACACUGUUUCCAUAGAGACGAUGCAUUUUGGAAGGGAAGGCGCAGGGGAGAAGAUGGACUAGGGAGGAAGCUCAGCCUCUUGAUGGCUGCCUCCAAUGCCAGGGGCCCAGUGCUGCGACAGGAUGGCUCCAGGGAGGUGAGCAAGCUCCUCCAGGGUUUUAUUGACUUUCCUUUGAUAGGAGCCCUGGAUAGUUCAUCUCAGACUGUGCUGUUCAUUCCAGUGCACAGCUUUGAAAACUUUAUGGCACUGCAGGCCAUUAAGCACCCUCAUUUAUUCCACUCCUGUGUGCCUGCCUUGGACCCUGGGGAGAGCCAGAUGAGGGCUCUGGGGAUUCAGUGAAUUCAGGGAAGCUUCGAGGCUGGAGAGAAGGAGCCCAGUGGAGAGAGGAAGCCUCCUGCAGACACUGGGGAGUCCUCAGGGUCUUGCCAGUGGUUGUUACCCAAGUCACUGGGUCUUCUUGCCAUCAGUGCAGCUGGGGUGUCAGGAUGAAGACUUCAGGUUGAAGGGUGUUAUGUUUGGAACCCCUUUAUGAGAAUAUGGCUGAAGAGUGGCCUGUGGCUUUGGUAGGCAGCUGGCUUGUGGUCUUUGAAGAGGCUUCAGGAUAGAGUGCAAGGGUCUCAUAAUAAAGACUGCUAAACAUCA